rnacentral:rRNA from 1 species
UGAGCAGCGACGCCGCGUGAGGGAUGACGGCCUUCGGGUUGUAAACCUCUUUCAGCAGGGACGAAGCGAAAGUGACGGUACCUGCAGAAGAAGCACCGGCCAACUACGUGCCAGCAGCCGCGGUAAUACGUAGGGUGCAAGCGUUGUCCGGAAUUAUUGGGCGUAAAGAGCUCGUAGGCGGCUUGUCGCGUCGGCUGUGAAAACCUGGG